rnacentral:lncRNA from 1 species
AGUGUUUAUCAUUGUGAAUGUUGUGAUUGAGAUUUAUGAAUAUGCUUAUGUAUAUGUUUGUAUACACAUCUCUCCGGUAUGGGAUGGAGGAAGAUGCGGUAUGAUGCUUAUUAUUCCACUGAUUGAAUACUGGUGAUGGCAUGCAUAGGUUUGGUACCUUCAUGAUUAUUUACCAUUAUAAAUGAUGUGAUUAUAGCCGAAAUAUGAUCUUAUGAUUUUUCUUCUUGUUAGACGAUUAAGCUAUGUGGUAACUAGUUGUCUAUUAGCUAACUAUUGCACUUGAUGGCUAGGAAGCUAAUGUAUUAGUUAAUGAAUCUUGCUUAGUUGGAACAUGGUAGCUAAUGAUGGUCAGUUAAUGAAUGAUGUCAUUUAAUAAAAGAUGGUUAGGCGACAAGUUGUAAUGUGUUGUCUAGUAAUGAUUAACAAAAAUAGGAUGAAUAGUUGCUAAUAAUGAAUGGUGGAUAAAUGAUGGUUUUUGAUCUAAUGAUGAACCUAGACUAGAUGUUGGACGUUGACUGUUAAAUGAAUAGUGGUUAGUUAUUAUCUCGUGAACAAGGAUUAUGUAAAGGAUGAUGUUUAGGCUAAUAACUAGAGGUUAUGUGAUGACUAGCGAACUAGCGGUUUAAUAAUAACAAGUGUUGGUUAGCUAAUAAUGAGUAGUUGGAAUGUAUUGAUAAGUUAGACAUCUUUACGGUUACGAGUAUAUUGGCUUGCAUCUGUGCACCUAUUAUAUGCCUAUAUUUAUGUGUCGAGAGUUAUGAUAAUACAUUGAUAUCCGGCAAGGCCACAGGAUAUUAUGAUGGUAUUGAUAUCCGGUUCGAGUCCGGAGGAUGUUAUUGAGAUGAUAUUGAUACCCGGCAAGGCCGGAGGAUAUUGUGAUAAUAUUGAUACCUGGUUCGAGUCCGGAGGAUACUAUUGAGAUGAUAUUGAUACCCGGUGAGGCCGGAGGUUGAUGACGAUGAUGAUGGUCCUGAUGAAGACAGUUAUGAUGCAUUGUGAUAUUAAUGGUAUAUUUUGCAUUCAUUCCUGCAUGCGCAUCGCCUAUCACCAGUAUGCACCUAUGUCUAUCAGCCGGAAUGGGAUGAUUGCAUAGAUAUGGGUGAAGUAUAUGUCUUGUGUUAUUGUUUGUUGAUUGAACCUUCUGAGUCUGGGGCGGUAGGGGUACGCAUAGGCUCGGCUAGGUAUUUGGUUGUCCAGAGUAGCCGGUUAUUUACAAUGUUAUUGAUAUUGUUAUUAUCAUGGUUAUGAUCAUUAUUAUGGCUAGCUUAUGACAAACUGAUCAUGGAUCCGGUAUUAGGAUUAAGGUAUGUCUUCGGCCUUUGCUAUCUUAUGAUUGCAUUACUAUGCACGAUUAUUCUAUGUCUAGCCAUAUGGAUUAGAAAUCCUGAGUAUGUUGGUAUUGAAUCUUGAUAGCAUUAUAAUAAGAUCUUAAAAUGAGAACAUGAUGAUGUAGGUUAUGUUGAGAUGACCUCCUAUAUAUAUAUAUAUAUAUAUAUAAAAAGUCAUGGUACUAUCGGAUAUCCCUUUCUUCAUUGUUCAUAUUGUAUAGUCUUUCUUUCACCUUGUAUAUUACAAUAUAUCUUCAUUUUUCUCUUUAUCUAUAUAUUGACCUGGGAUAUAAGGUAUAGCUUUGGCAUAUAUUGAAUGUAGCUGGAAUAAGAUAGUACACCUUAAUACUUCCUUAGUCUUAUUAUGUUAGACUCUUGGACAUGAAUAGGAUAGUUGUUCCUUAUUAUUCUCAUUGACUUAUUACAUGAUUUAUGGACUCUUGGUUGUAGUUUCUAUUCUAUUUAUAUGUUGUAUAUAUCUACUUUAUCUUUGGAGCUCAGUUAACAUGUUCAUAUUGUAUAGUCGUUCCUUCGCCUUGUAUAUUACAAUAUAUCUUUCUUUCGCUCUUUAUCUGUAUAUUGACCAGGGAUAUACUGUAUAGCUUUGACAUAUAUUAAAUGUAGUUGGAAUAAGAUAGUUCACCUUGAUAAUUCCUUAGUCUUAUUAUGUUAGACUCUUGGAUAUGAAUAGGAUAGUCAUUAUAAUAAGAUCUUAAAAUGAGAACAUGAUGAUGUAGGUUAUGUUGAGA